rnacentral:rRNA from 1 species
AAAAAUAACGAUACGGGACUCUAUUGAGGCCCCGUAAUCGGAAUGAGUACACUUUAAAUCCUUUAACAAGGAUCCAUUGGAGGGCAAGUCUGGUGCCAGCAGCCGCGGUAAUUCCAGCUCCAAUAGCGUAUAUUAAAGUUGUUGCGGUUAAAAAGCUCGUAGUUGGUUCUGCGUGCCGCGCUGUCGGUUCGCCGCCUGUCGGUGUAACUGGCAUGUCGCGGCAUGUCCUGUCGGUGGUGAACGGAGUCCACAAUGCUACAUAGGCUUUAUAGCCGAUGUUAGCGUCGUGUGUACUUCCGUUGGCCGAUCUCUCCUACUUCGGUGCUCUUAAACGAGUGUCGAGGUAGGCCGACACGUUCACUUUGAACAAAUUAGAGUGCUUAAAGCAGGCUGAAAUAUCUGCCUGAAUAGUGGUGCAUGGAAUGAUAAAACAGGACCUCGGUUCUAUUUUGUUGGUUUUAGGAAUAUGAGGUAAUGAUCAAUGUGGACUGGCGGGGGCAUUCGUAUUGCGACGUUAGAGGUGAAAUUCUUGGAUCGUCGCAAGACGCACUAGAGCGAAAGCAUUUGCCAAGUAUGUCUUAAUUGAUCAAGAACGAAAGUUAGAGGUUCGAAGGCGAUCAGAUACCGCCCUAGUUCUAACCAUAAACGAUGCCAGCCAGCGAUCCGCCGAUGUUCCUUUAAUGACUCGGCGGGGAGCUUCCACCCGGGAAACCAAAGCUUUUGGGUUCCGGGGGAAGUAUGGUUGCAAAGCUGAAACUUAAAGGAAUUGACGGAAGGGCAC